AAGAACUAACUGCUCAAAAUGUCAUUCUGAAGUCCUGGAUCUCUGUGCUUCAGACUAUCCCUUUUCAGUUCUUCUAAUUGGAACAACCUUCACUUCAGGCGCGGAGCCUUCCAGAGUCACUCGGGUUUAUUUGCAGCUCAUUGCUCAACCCCUGAUUAUUCUGGUGAAGGAGAAAAGCCACUCAAUCCUGCAUCCUUGGGAGGUGUGCACCUCCUCUUCUCUUGGAGGAAGAAUCGCCUCUCCAGAAAUUUGUGCUUUUAGGGCCAAAAUGUGACAAGCACAUAGCAAGGAAUUUUUAACAUUGUUUUAAG
rnacentral:lncRNA from 1 species